rnacentral:rRNA from 1 species
UCAGACGAUGCGUCAUGCAUAUCAAUAAGCGGAGGAAAAGAAACUAACAAGGAUUCCCCUAGUAACGACGAGUGAAGCGGGAAGAGCUCAAAUUUGAAAUCUUAAAGGGUUUCCCUUUACGAAUUGUAGUUUAAAGAAGUGUUUUCUGUUGAGGUUUUGGUAAAAGUUCUUUGGAAUAGGACAUCAUAGAGGGUGAGAAUCCCGUAUUUGACCUUUACUUUCAACUUUGUGAUACACUUUCAAAGAGUCGGAUUGUUUGGGAAUGCAGUCCAAAAUGGGUGGUAAAUUUCAUCUAAAGCUAAAUAUUGGCGAGAGACCGAUAGCGAACAAGUACCGUGAGGGAAAGAUGAAAAGAACUUUGAAAAGAGAGUUAAACAGUACGUGAAAUUGUCAAAAGGGAAGCGUUUGACACCAGUGUUGUUUUUCUGAAAAUCAAUUAAAGAACUGUUUAUGCUAAGCUGUUUAGACUUUAUCAGCUAUCUGUUUAGUUUUGAGCUUUUCUUUAAUGCACUUUUCAGUUAACAAGUCAACAUCAAUUUCUUUUGCUGUAAAAAAGCUUGAGGAAGGUGGCUUGAGAUUCGUCUUAAGUGUUUAUAGCCUCUUGCCUAUGCAGUCGGAGAGAUUGAGGUCUGCAGCGUAGAUCCUUCGGGGCUAAAUGCAUUUGUGCUAAGUUAUAGCAUUUUAUAGACAACUUGUUGACUAUGAUUUGUCUUGUAGCUUACUCGCUUAUGUUAUUUUACCUACGCUUAGGAUGUUGACACACGCGCGUGCUCG